UGCAAGCAGUAGCGUGUUCCUCAAAGAAUGCUAGUAUUUCCUGUGGAAACUGUAUGGCUGCCAGGAAUGGCUCAUAAUUUUCCCUUCUUUUCUUUUCGUAAAAAUGAAAUAAACAAAACGUGGCAUUUAACAAUAGCCAAAAUACCAGUUCACCUCACUUACCACCUGCAGAUGAAAGUCAUCACCACGAGGGAAGGCCAAGAGAGGCACAUUUCCCGGCUCAAAUCGACGCGGACGAGCCUGGGAAGCAGGACAGCGCCCGGGGCAGGUCUGAGCCCUGCGGCUGGACGGGGCAGCCCGGGAGCCCCGAGGACGCGCGUGGGGCUCCCCGGGGCGGCAGCAACCCCAGGCGUCCCUCUUUCGCGUUAUUAUUGUUAUUUGGUACUGUCGCUGUUACUAUUACUUGGCCCCUCAUUAUCUGGACUCUUAGGCGCUGGGGCACUGCCCAUCGCCGCCUCCGAUACGAUGUGAAGGGGCAGCACGGAUAAUAACCACACCAAACGGGCAAAGGAAAAGAACAAUCCUUUGGCAACCGAGGUGGGGGCUGUCUCCCCCCCUUCCCCAGAGUAAAGCUGCCGCUCGGCAGCCGCCGCCGCCGCCGUUACUAUAGAGACCUUCCCCCAAACCCUUGCUGCAGUGGCACCGCCGCUGCCCGGGCAGCCGGGACUCGCGGCACAAAGGGGGCCCCGGGGGCUGCGGGGAGCAGGGGCGACACCCGCCGGGGUCGCCCGGUGCAAACUUGGACAGGCUCAGUCGCCCGCGCCGCCGCCCCCCGCCUCCCCGCCGCGCCCGCCGGGGACCUGGACUCACCGGGGGCGCCCGGCGCGCCGGCGACUCGGGAGCGCGGACCGACUGACGGACGCACGGGUAGACGGCGGCGGCGGCGGCGGGAGCAGGAGCCGCCGCAGCGGGAGCGGGCGGGCUGCGGGCGGCAGAGGCGCUGCCGCGGCCCCGCUACGUCACAAUGCGGCCGGGCCGCCGGCGUCGCUCCCCCGGCCCCCCAACGGGCGCGCGCGGGGCGGGGGCAGCCCCGGGGCGGCCGGGCGCGGAGCCGGCGCGGCGCGCGGGGCGGGGGGGGCGGAGGACGCGGGGCGCGGCGCGGGCGCACCGCCGGGGACGGGGGCGCGGCCACACCGCGCGGGCUGCGGGAGCCGCCGAGCGCCCCGCGCCCGCCCCCCCGGAGACCGCGAGUCCCGCUCCGCCUGGCUGACGGCGACCUUCCCCGGCCGGCCCACGCCCCUCCCGCACCGCCUCCCCGCCCGCCCGCCGGCCCGCCGGCUCCAGUCCGCGAACCUGCGCUUCCUUCUCCACCUCUCGCUCCUUCACCUCUGCCGCCUUUGCUUCUCCGCGGCUGGGCUUCUUCUCUCCUCCCCUCCUACUUUUUGCCCCCGCUUCCCUCUUUCUCCUCCGCCCCCUGCUUCCCCCCCCACCGCCAUCCCCCGGCUCGGCGGCCUCUCUCCCUGGAAAUGAAAUCCCCCCUCACCGGGAUCCACGCGUCAGCCGCUGCCGCCUCGUUGGUCCCCAAGCCAGUCCGGCGGUCCAGCCUGAACCGGGAGAAGGGACUCGGGGAGGGGAAACGGAAGUUCCAAGGGAGCGAGAGUGGCGCCACGGUCCUGGGAAACUCAGCGCUUAUCUGCGUUAAUGGUACUGGGGAUGUGUAGCAUGUGUUAGCCUGUCAUUGAAAAUACAUCAUCGAUAAUAUAUUUACUACACAGAAUAAAGAUAAUGUACCAUAUAUUAAUAGCAUAUAAUGUAUUGCUGCAUAUGUUAAUAAUAAUAUAUAUUUAAUACAUAGCAACCAGAAACGAUCUGGUUGUUUAAAAACUAGUUCUCUGGAUGACUAGUGUAAUACUGUACACAGUGCCUAUAGAGUCCUUGGGCCUCUGUUGGCAGGAAAGAGGCAAACUGUAGGGUUAGGAGGACAUGGCCGGCAAUCCUGUCUGGACCUGUUUGGGUGCGUACAAUAAUUACCGAAAUGAGGACUACCUUGAAGGCCAGCAGAAGACAUUUCACAUGCUUUUAAUUUGAUUUCCUAUUGAGAAACUAAAUUUCUCUCUCUCCGCUUUUUGACAUCAACAGCCAAGAUUGUGUCCUGCAGUGUUGUAAUUUGUUUAUUGUAAUUGAUCAUGUAUAAGACAUCAAGUACAUGCGUGGAAAGUGGCUUCACAAUUUUAAAAACACACAUUAUCCCUCAGUAGAAAAGUAUAAAAUCAGAUGACAUCAUAUGGCACUAAAAAUACUUGAAAAUAUUGGGCUUAAUUCAUUCACAUCUGGUUAAAAUAAAAAUACUGUUUUUUGUGUUUUCCUUUUUUUUUUUUUUUUUGCCUAGUAUAAACUCUGUGAAAAGCACAUCUUGCUUCCAUCCAGUAGAUAUGGAUGGAAAUUGGUGUCAUCCUUGACGUGGUCCAUAGAGAGCCUACUUCCACCGCCAUCUUGUUAAAUAUUUUGACAUGCUGUUUUUUAAAAAUCAGAUUUUAAUGUAUCAUAGGAGUAAUUUGUUGGAGAAUAAUAAACGGGCAUCUUUUUCCCACUACCCCGAACGUCUACUAGCUCUAACAGUGAGCCAGGUGUUAACUCACUUUAAAUGGUUCAAGAAGGGAACCGAUUGUGUCGAAUGUACAGAAAAUGGGUUGUCCCAGAAAAAAAAAAUUCUGUUGUUGUGUAGCCAAAGGAAUAGCGUGCCAUAGUGUAAAAGAGCAAUCUCUGAGAUGUUGUUUCAGAUAGUUUCCCCUGUUUUUUUAUAGUUCUUUUCCCA
rnacentral:lncRNA from 1 species